rnacentral:lncRNA from 1 species
GGCAAAAUAAGUUAUAAUAAUUAAGUCCAUAGAACACAUACUUUAUUAUUUGAGAAAGUGACAAAAACAAAGACCAACUGUAACGACCCAACUUUUCUAGGUAAGUCGAGGUCGUUAAUUUUUGACAAAAGACUUUGGUUGAUACAAAAUGAAAUGUAAGCCAAUUGAAAAACAACUUUAAGUCAGGCCUGAUUUUCAAAUAUUCCAAAAACUUAAAAAAAGUACUAUUUACAAAUAAAAGUUUGUAAGCUAAGUUUCAAUACAACGUCUUAAACCUAAAACAAACAAUAAGCGGAAGCAAAAUAACACAUUUCCUAUGGCAAUCACACUUCCUUCCUGCCCCUCGCCGGUUUGCCGCCUUUAUUACCUUUGCCUGAAAAUUAAACAUAAGAAGGGUGAGUAUAAAAAUACCCAGUAAGAGACCCUCUACUGGUCCCGUCAGGGGAAAAAUAAAUUGUUAACAUUCUAUUGGGACACCCUGUACAGUCGCAGUCUUGUGAUCCCGUAGGAUGCACAUUUCAGUCUAACGCCCGAGGACGUACAUUUCAGUGUAGUGUUCUGCAGAAACACAUAUCAGUCUAAUGCUCCCGAAGGUGCAGAAUAAUUGGUGAUCCCGUGGGACACCUACAAGGCACACAUCCCAAUAAAAGCUAACAAUUUUUCCCCUCAAUCCAUUCGUACCAUCUUUCAGUUACUUCAAAAUAUAAAGUUCUUUCACUCAACGUUCUAACAGUCAACUUAUCUCACUUUAGCCCAAUGUCUGUCAGUAACAUACUAAUACGUCAGUCAAUCAAACUAUAUAGUCAUAACGCCUCUCAGUUCACCAGCACACAGUCAUACUUUAGUAUAACGUACACCCAGUCUAAACGACAAUCACAAGUUCACAUCCGCAUCUCAUACAAACACAAUCUACAAUUGUCGUCCUGUCUACAUCCACACACAUAUAUAUAUAUUCCAAGACAAUCACAAUAUGCAUUCAACAUCAAGUCUACUUCAAUCCAUGUGUAUAUAUAUAUUUUCAGUCAUCCACAGUAUACAUUCAACACCGAACCUACAUCCAUACGUAUAUAUAUAUUGUCUCAACACAUUUACUCAAUCAGAGGUGACUAACAUUACAAUUCAAAAGCAUAGGUGAGUCCAGUAGAAAAUAAAAUCCCUUACCUCACUUUUAUGCAAGUUCUUCAAUCUACUAAAUCCAAUGAAUCAAAUCCUAAACAUAAUCAAUCAUAAAAUCAACAUCUUUCUAAAUAGUUUCAACCAUUCAAAUUACCCCAUAUGUAAAUUCCACAACUUACCCAAGAAGUGGAAAAUCAAGUCCACUUCAACCUUUUGGAAAAUCAAGGAUUCGCUCACUGAAUCAAGAUGUACCUUCAAGAAUUAAGCAUUUCGCCAACAAUUAAAUCCAAUGGCAGCAUUCAACAAAAACCAAGAAACCAACAAAAACCAUAACUUGUUCUUACCCAAAUAUGAGCCCAAUGGUUCACGGCGAGGCAAAAAUGACAAUCAAGAACGAAUCAAGCGGCUGUAAAUAGAGCAACACUGAAUGCGACUCAACUGGAAAAGAAAAUCGGCUUCAAAUCGUAACUCCGUCUUACAACGAGCAGAAGAACGUCGACUUGAUAGGGGACACGUAAUUUAGGAAGAGAUCGACUUGGAUCCGUGUAUGACUUCACGAGAUGUAUGCGUCGACGGCUUCACGGAGGUGAAGACAGACGCGGUCGGAGAGUCACGCGGCAGUGCAGAAAACGGAGGAGAAAGGAACGGGCGGCGGCUGGCUUGGCUUCGACGGAGACAGAGAUUGCGCAGCAGGGCUUCACGAACGGAGAGGAAAGGAAUGGGCACGGCGAUGCAGAUCUGGACGACUGCUGCAAGGUGACGCGUACGGCACUUCACGAACCGGCCGACGGUUGCAGCGACGGAUCUGGGUUAUGGCGAACUGCAAGGGUGAAGCACAAGCGACGGCGAGGACCUGGACGGCUCGGCGAUGCAGAUCUGGAUGACGAUUUGCUUUCCGAGGGAGGCACGACGGUUGUGAGCGGAGAGGCACGGUGGUUGUGAGCGGAUGGGCGCGGCGGUUUCGAUCCGAAGGAGAAAAGGAAGACGACCGGAAAGAAGAAGAAGAAACGACCGGCAGCUUGUGUGGCCGACUGGGUGAACGGAGAAGAGAGGGAUGUGCGGCUGCUAGGGUACGGGAAGGAGAAAGGGAUGGAGGACGCACGGGAGGAAGAAGGAAGGAAAAAUUUCUUUUUUCUUUUCUUUUAUUUAAAUAAUAAAAAUAAAACUAAAAUAUAAAUAAAUAUAUAUAUAAUAAAUUUCUUUUUCUUUUCUUUUAUUUAAACUAAAUAAUAAAACUAAAAUAUAAAUAUAUAUAUAUAAUUAUAUUAUCACAUUUUCAAAUCUUCUUUCCCCCUUCAACAUAUUUUCUUCAAAACAAUAAAUCUUGUACAAAUCGAAAAAAUCUCUUAAAAUAAAAUACCUUCGAGUUUGGGGCGUUACAUUCUUCCUCCUUAAGGCGAAAGUUCUAAUCCUAAAUAACUCUUGAUAACGAGUCCUCAUCUCUUCUUCUCGCUCCCAUGUCGCCUCUUCAAUUCGAUGAUUCCGCCACAAAACCUUUACUAAUGGAAUGCUUCUAUUACGAAGCAUCUUUACCUCUCUAGCGAAUCUCCACAGGUUGUUCUACAUAGCUCAAAUGCUCAUCAAUCUCCAAGGUUCAUAGUCCACGACAUGAGAUGUAUCGGCCACAUACUUCCUCAACAUCGAAACAUGGAAAACAUUAUGGACUGCAGAGAGUGAUGGUGGUAAUGCCAAGCGAUACGCCACAACACCAACCCUCUCUAAGAUCUCAAAUGGUCCAACAAAACGAGGACUUAACUUCCCUUUCUUCUCAAAACGCAUAACACCCUUCAUAGGUGCUACCUUCAAGAAUACCUUUUCUCCCACAUCAAACUUAAGGUCUUUUCGCCGUACAUCUGCAUAACUCUUUUGUCUACUCUGCGCUGUUUGCAUACGUGCUCUAAUCUUUUGAAUAGCCUCAUUAGUAGACCGAACUAAUUUAGGUCCCAUCAACCUCUGUUCACCAACCUCACUCCAACAAAUAGGGGUUCUACAACAUUUACCAUACAAAGCCUCAAAUGGUGCCAUACCGAUGGUAGCCUGGAAACUGUUGUUAUAAGCAAACUCCAUCAAAUGUAGAUGAGAGUCCCAACUACCUGGAAACUCUAGAACACAAGCUCGUAGCAUAUCCUCUAAAACUUGGUUCAAACGUUCAGUUUGACCAUCAGUUUGUGGAUGAAAGGCUGUACUGAAAUCUAAUCUCGUACCCAUAGCAGUCUGAAGUCCCUUCCAAAACUUGGAAGUAAACCGUGCAUCCCUGUCAGAAACAAUCGAUACAGGCACUCCAUGCAGUCUCACAACCUCAGUUAAAUACAACUGUGCCCACUUACUAGCAGUAUAAGUGGAUUUCCCUGGUACAAAAUGUGCGAUUUCGUAAGCCUGUCUACAACAACCAAAAUCACUGUGAAACCCUUCAGGGUCUUAGGCAGCCCUGAAAUAAAAUCCAUCGACACAUUCUCCCACUUCCACUCUGGCACACUUAAAGGUUGUAACAAACCUGCUGGUUUCUGUCUAGGUGCCUUAACCUGCUGACAUACUAGACACUUACUAACGAAUUCCGCCACUUCCCUUUUCAUAUUCCGCCACCAAUAAAAUCGUUUUAGAUCCUGAUACAUUUUCGUACUACCAGGAUGCAUGGAAAAUGAAGAAUUAUGGGCUUCAUCUAGUAAGUCAAUCUUAGCUGCACUGUUCGCUGGCACACACAAACGUCUCUCAAACAUCAAUCCACCAUCAGAGGAUAUGGAGAACUCAUCAGUCUGCUCUGUUCCAACAAGGCGACGUCUCUCCAUCAAAUAAGGAUCAUUACUCUGAGCAUCAACAAUCUUCUGCCUCAGAGUCAGUUGCACCGUUAAUUGAGCUAACUGUGAGGUGACUCUCCCCACAGAUACUACAAUCUCAGCUCUCUCCAAGUCUCGAUGUAAUGGUACCUGUCUAGUAAUGAGUGCUGCCGAAUGUGAUACUUUUCUACUAAGAGCAUCAGCCACCACAUUCGCCUUACCAGGAUGGUACAAUAUCUCACAGUCAUAAUCCUUUACCAACUCGAGCCACCUUCGCUGUCUCAUAUUCAACUCCUUCUGAGUGAAGAAGUACUUCAGGCUCUUAUGGUCAGUAAAGAUUUGUAUCUUUUCACCGUACAAAUAAUGUCUCCAUAUCUUCAAUGCAAAAACCACUGCUGCCAACUCCAAAUCAUGUGUGGGGUAGUUCUGCUCGUGACUCUUCAACUGACGAGAGGCAUAAGCAACCACCUUACCUUUCUGCAUCAAAACACAACCCAGUCCUUUCUUGGAAGCAUCACUGUAAAUCACAAAACUUCCGGAUCCAUCUGGUACUGUAAGGACCGGUGCAGUAACUAACCUUUGCUUAAGGUUCUGAAAACUAUCCUCGCAAGCUGGACUCCAAACAAACGGAGUUCCCUUCCUUGUCAACUGAGUCAAGGGAGUAGCCAAACGUGAAAAAUCCUCCACAAACCUCCGGUAGUACCCUGCUAAACCCAGAAAACUACGAACCUCACUAACUGUAGAGGGUCGAGACCAACUGGUAACCGCUUCUAUCUUUGCAGGGUCUACAGAAACUCCCUCACUGGAAACCACAUGACCAAGAAAAGCCACCUGCUUCAACCAAAAUUCGCACUUAGAGAAUUUAGCAUAAAGUUUAUUGACUCGAAGAGUCUCUAACACUUUAUGUAAGUGUUCCUCAUGUUCGGCCUCAGUCUUGGAAUAAACCAAAAUAUCAUCAAUGAAGACUAUCACAAAAGUGUCUAAGAAAUCCUUAAACACCCUGUUCAUCAAAUCCAUAAAUACUGCAGGUGCAUUAGUCAAACCAAAAGACAUUACCAUGAAUUCAUAAUGUCCGUACCUCGAACGAAAAGCAGUCUUAGGAAUAUCACGGUCUCUAAUCCUCAACUGGUGAUAACCUGACCGUAAGUCAAUCUUAGAGAACACCGUGGCUCCCUGUAACUGAUCGAACAAAUCAUCGAUUCUAGGUAAAGGAUAUCUGUUCUUGAUUGUUACUUUAUUCAACUCUCUAUAGUCAAUGCAAAGACGCAUCGACCCAUCCUUCUUCUUCACAAACAAUACUGGUGCACCCCAAGGCGACACACUAGGUCGAAUAAAGCCUUUGUCAAGCAACUCCUGUAACUGUACCUUCAGUUAUUUCAACUCGACAGGAGCCAUCCUAUAAGGGGCUCUAGAAAUGGGAGUAGUGUCUGGCUCCAACUCAAUGGCAAAAUCAAUCUCUCUAUGUGGCGGUAGUCCUGGAAGAUCUUCUGGAAACACAUUGGGUAUUCUCUUACCACAGGUUCUGAAGUUAAGGAAGUCUCAUCUUCCCUAGUAUCCACCACACUUGCCAAAAUACUCCAGGUACCCUGGUUGAGCAGUUUACUAGCUUUCAUAGCUGAGAUUACUUUAGGCAGUACUACUGUUCCUACCCCUUGAAUUUAAAGCUAGAUUCGGUAGGGGGACUGAACACAACCUCUUUACGAGAGCAAUCAAUACUAGCAUGAUUAGUAGCUAGCCAAUCCAUACCUAAAAUUACAUCAAAGUCACGCAUAUCUAAUACCAACAAGGUUACGUCCAGCACACGACCAGCUAUCUCAAUUUCACAUGCUUUAAUCUUUUCCUUAGACAACAUAAUUUCUCCAGACGGUGUAGACACUGACAAAACAUAAUCUAAGGGUUCCACCUCUAAGCAUGCAUGCGUCACAAAAAGCGAUGAAAUAAAUGAAUGAGAAGACCCCGAGUCAAACAAGGUCAAGGCAAAAUGCCCUAACACUGGUAAUGUACCUGUCACCACUGUGCAGGCCUUCUCUGCUUAUGAUCUAUUAGUGGCAAAGAUUGUACCCCGCUGUGGAGGUUUCGCUCCCUGACUGCUCUGUCCAGCCCCAGUAGAUCUCAAGGGACAUCGAUCAGCCAUGUGUCCCUCUUGCUUGCACUUAUAACAGACUCUCGUUCCCAUCAAACAACGACCCAGGUGGUGUUUCCCACACGUAUUGCAUAGUGGCUUCUCUCGAGUAGUGUCUCCUGCCCCGCCAGAACUCUGCUGGAAACUGCAAAAAGGAUCGCCUAAUCUCAAGUUCCUCUGAGGAAUUCCCACAGUUCUCUGCUCUGCUUUCCUCUUUUGACCAGACGACGAUCCCUUAUCAAAACUCCUUGCCCGAAUUUCAUCCUUCCCAAUGCUCAUAUCCACUGCCAGGCGCAGCGCUUCAGCCUGGGUAGUGGGCUUUAGUGCUCGCACAAAGCCUCUAAUCUCAUCUCUCAAUCCUUUGACGAACCUAUCAGCUCUAGCCUGCUCAUUACCAACAAGUUCAGGGGCAAAACGCGACAGCAUAUCAAACUCCUGGUCGUACUCCUCGACUGUCAUAUGUCCUUGCUUCAAUUCCAAGAAUUCCUGGCUUUUGGCGUCUCUAAGGUUAGCCGAGAAAAACUUGGUAUAGAAGCAGUCUUUAAACUGAUCCCAGGUAAUCUGUCUCACAUCUCCACCUAGCAUACGCAUCGUAGUUCUCCACCAGAUAAUACCUCUGUCCCUCAGAAGAAAAGCAGCACACUGAACUCUAUGCUCCUCUGGACAUCUCAUGUAAUUAAAUAUGGUUUCCACAGAGGACAACCACAACUCAGCUUUAGUAGGAUCCUCCAGUGACCCAUCAAACGUCUGAGGGUCAUAUUUCCUAAAGUCCCUCAAAUGUUUCGCCUCAGCAGAAAGUUGGUUCGGUAAUGUCUGCGGCUGUUGUGCAGCCAAUCCUUGCGCAGGAGGGGCUGCUGGUGCAGGUGGAGCUGCUGGUACAGGGGGAACCACAGGUGCAGGUGGAACUGCAGGUGCCUGCUGGUUCUGAGCUAUAGCCGUCAUAAGCUCCGUGAACCUCUGCUCCAUGUGAGCAGACAGUGCAGCAAACUCAACAUGAGUCACGGGUGCAGUAGGAAUUCGCUAUUCAGCUUGACCCUCAGUAGGUUGAUUACGACCUGCUCCUCUACCCCAGCCUCUACGACCUCUCUACGUACACCUCUCUUUGGCGGCAUAAUUCCUAUUAUCCACCAACAACACUCUUUAAAAAGUCUUAAUCAUAAGCAUAAGAGUCUUUAUCGUCAUGCAAUCUAGUUUAAUUUAGGCAAACUCAUGCAAAUAAACCAUACAUAUAAGCAUAAAGAUACCUGACGAGAGACGAAGGGUCGCGUUAGCCAUAGGGACAUAAAACAUAGACUUACAUCGUAAGUCAGUCUACAGAACCUAAAACUUAGGCUCUGAUACCAACUGUAACGACCCAACUUUUCUAGGUAAGUCGAGGUCGUUAAUUUUUGACAAAAGACUUUGGUUGAUACAAAAUGAAAUGUAAGCCAAUUGAAAAACAACUUUAAGUCAGGCCUGAUUUUCAAAUAUUCCAAAAACUUAAAAAAAGUAUUUUACAAAUAAAAGUUUGUAAGCUAAGUUUCAAUACAACGUCUUAAACCUAAAAAAAAACAAUAAGCGGAAGCAAAAUAACACAUUUCCUAUGGCAAUCACGCUUCCUUCCUGCCCCUCGCCGGUUUGCCGCCUUUAUUACCUUUGCUGAAAAUUAAACAUAAGAAGGGUGAGUAUAAAAAUACCCAGUAAGAGACCCUCUACUGGUCCCGUCAGGGAAAAAUAAAUUGUUAACAUUCUAUUGGGACACCCUGUACAGUCGCAGUCUUGUGAUCCCGUAGGAUGCACAUUUCAGUCUAACGCCUCGAGGGACGUACAUUUCAGUGUAGUGUUCUGCAGAAACACAUAUCAGUCUAAUGCUCCCGAAGGUGCAGAAUAAUUGGUGAUCCCGUGGGACACCUACAAAGCACACAUCCCAAUAAAAGCUAACAAUUUUUCCCCUCAAUCCAUUCGUACCAUCUUUCAGUUACUUCAAAAUAUAAAGUUCUUUCACUCAACGUUCUAACAGUCAACUUAUCUCACUUUAGCCCAAUGUCUGUCAGUAACAUACUAAUACGUCAGUCAAUCAAACUAUAUAGUCAUAACGCCUCUCAGUUCACCAGCACACAGUCAUACUUUAGUAUAACGUACACCCAGUCUAAACGACAAUCACAAGUUCACAUCCGCAUCUCAUACAAACACAAUCUACAAUUGUCGUCCUGUCUACAUCCACACACAUAUAUAUAUAUUCCA